GCGGAUCAUUUUCAGCCUGCCAAGAGAGCUGGCCCUGCAGAAUUCUUUUGAUAUGAUGCACAUCUCAGCGCUCUCCAAAUCACUGAUGAGUUGCAGAUCACUCUGCAGGACUCAGGAAAACUUAAUAAAUUGAUUUUUUUUUUUUUUUUUUGCAAAAUGUUGUAAAAUAGAACAUAUAUGGAGCUAGGUACAUUGUGUUAAGUGAGGGAAGUACAAGUUUUCUCUGUCUUCACAUAUCAUUUCCAAUUCCUACCUACAGGAACUACAAAAUAACAUCAUACUAGCACAUGAACCCUUUCACUGGGCACCAUCGUGUACAACGUAGAUCUCCCAAAACCGCCAAGAUACAGCUGAGAUGUCAGGAACAUGCCACCUUCUACCUUUACAUUCCUUCCAAGCUGCCUCUGGAAUCAAACAUCAAGCUGUGCUAGCUGUAGAAGUAUAACUUCAUCUAGGAUCUCCAGCUUAGAUAAAAAGCACCAUUGUAACUGCAGUAAUUUCUAUGAUGAGGUUUUUGUCCUGAGUCUCACCAUCUCGCCUGGCUUUGUUAAUUAACACUUUUAGGGUUGGCUAUUUUCUUUUUCCUUUUGCCACAUUUGCUGGGAUAUAUCGAGAUUCUUAUCGAAUUAUCCAACUCUUACCAAAUAAUUAACUUCAUCAGCAUAAAUUAAUCACCAAAGCACCCUUUGAGCAGUAUUACAGAUGGGGAAAAUGAGAUAAGAGCUGGCCAUGCAGCAAAACUACUGCAAUUAUGCUUCGUGAAUUCAGGAGUUCCUGUCUCCCAGCCCUGUUCUCAGAUGAGAUCAAUCCUUUAAACUGCAUCUGAAUGCUUACACUCCUAGCAAAAAUAAGCCUGGUAGAACAGACCUGACUCAGUACAGGCACACAGAGAUCUGACCUUCAGCAGGCAGGUUUGGUGUUUGUAGUCUCACAGGAAGACACGAUACUGAAACUUACCCUGUUGACAGUGGCUUUUAUUCCAGCCAGGAGGGACGACGUAAAUGGCUGUACAGAGAGAAAAGGCCCAGAGGCGAAAGGUAAAUAAUUUUCAAAGCACAAUGCAGAAAGCGAGCCAACUGCUGAUGUAUGUGGACUGUGUUUGAAAGUGUGGGAAAGUUGCUUGCUCACGGGGAACCGGGGCUGGGUACAUUUAAGUUACACGGUAGACAGUGUUUUGUUGUGCAAUCUCUGUGUGGAGGACUUUUUGUUUUUUGCACUUAUGCCUAGACUUCUGGAAAGUGCACAUUUAAUAAAACCCUACUCAAGAGGACCGUGCUAAAGCAAUUGUUUUUCCCCUUUAAUUUUUAAGUGGUUACAAAACAAUGAAGCCCUCAGUUCUUUGCACUUCACAGGGAAGAAUGUACAAAGAGCUGCUUAAUCUCUUUCAGCUCAGCUCUUUCAUUCUCAUGGGUAUCCAGUUGCAAGGUAUCUGUAUCAGUCUGAAUUCUCAGCCGAUCCCCGCAGCAAAGUGCAUCCAACUGCAAGCUCUUGUUUUAACAUGCUGUUUCAGGACUGACCAGGUUUCAGCAUGCGAGGCUCGCUCUGCCUAAAUCUGUUUGACAUUGGCAGAGGAGCAGCAGCACGAAACCCAGCAGCACUCAUUCUGGUGAUGAAACGCCGAGUAAGCACUUUCACAAUGCCAGGCUAAUCUUAACACUGAUGUUUGCGAUCUCGAAGGAAGCGAGCCACACAGCUAAAGGAGUCACGUCACCGAGGAAGACUUGAAUGCUUCCUGAUUGGUUUUCCAAAUAAUUAUUUCAUCUGCUUCGACAGAGACUGGCUUGCAAUUCAAGUAUUAUACGGUUUUCUUCAUCACUGCAAAGUGCCAUUAAGGAAUCAGAUGGCAAGACAUCAAUCAUAUCCCAGGAUCAGCUAGGAAAGAACGGUGAAACCAGACAGGGCUAGGGAUUCAAAUUGAUUUUCUCCCACGAUUGCCAGGCAGUCUCAAACGCAAAAAGGA